rnacentral:rRNA from 1 species
GACGAACGCUGGCGGCGUGCUUAACACAUGCAAGUCGAACGAAGUGGCGAACGGGUGAGUAACGCGUAAUCAACCUGCCCUUCAGAGGGGGACAACAGUGGGAAACGACUGCUAAUACCGCAUACUGAAGGAGGGGAUUGCGUCUGAUUAGCUAGUUGGGGGGGUAACGGCCCACCAAGGCGAUGAGCAGUAGCCGGUCUGAGAGGCAGAACGGCCCAAUUGGGACUGCGACACGGCCCAGACUCCUACGGGCUGCAGCAGUGGGGAAUCUUCCGCAAUUGACGAAAGUCUGACGGAGCAACGCCGCGUGAGUGAUGACUGCCUUCGGGUUGUAAAGCUCUGUUAAUCGGGACGCGGUACCGGAAUAGAAAGCCACGGCUAACUACGUGCCAGCAGCCGCGGUAAUUC